rnacentral:sRNA from 1 species
AAUCUGCACAAUGGUCGCGCUCGUUCAAUCUUUUCCACACACGGGCAAUGGUUUGCAGUGUGCUUCGGAUGUAUGGAACGUUCGCUCCUCGCAGGGAUCGGCCACGUCAAGUGCGUACAUUGCGCAAUCGUUGCCAGGUUCAGCUGCACGCCAUCCAGGUGAGCGUGGCCGCAGGCGUUACGCUUGCGCAGCCACAAAAGAAGGCCGCCUCCCUCGCGGGAAGCGGCCUGGCCGGUCCGCUGGAGCAGACCGGUGCAACACGGAUGACGCGUUGGGCGUAGAGCGGCUAACAAGACGUAGCGAGCAGCCGCCAGGUGGGUGCGGCCGGCGCGGAGGAACCGGAGUACGGCGGUACAUGCCGAGUCCGACCACUGGCCACGCGCGCCUGGCGGCUGCGCAGUCGUUUUGAUGGCUGCUCUUAGAACUCCUG